rnacentral:rRNA from 1 species
UACGUAGGGUGCAAGCGUUGUCCGGAAUUAUUGGGCGUAAAGGGCUCGUAGGCGGUCCAUCGCGUCGGGAGUGAAAAGCUGGGGCUUAACCCCAGUCCUGCUUCCGAUACGGGUGGACUAGAGGUAGGUAGGGGAGAACGGAAUUCCUGGUGCAGCGGUGAAAUGCGCAGAUAUCAGGAGGAACACCGGUGGCGAAGGCGGUUCUCUGGGCCUUACCUGACGCUGAGGAGCGAAAGCAUGGGGAGCAAACAGG